AAAAUUAAGUUACCUACAAAACUCUCUUUUCUCCUUUUCUCUCUUUUUCCAUUUCUCUCUCCUCUCUCCCCUCCUUUUCUCUCUAUUCAUCUUUCUCAAUACAAGUUCGAGCAAGAGAAGGUUCUCUAUAACUCUUCCCAAGAAAAUCAGCCAUUAUAAAAUUAAUGUGUAUACUCACAAAUGCUAAACAUGCGUUCAAUUUCGUAUCACUUUUCCCUGAAUUAGAAGAAGGAGAA
rnacentral:ribozyme from 13 species